rnacentral:rRNA from 1 species
ACGCUCGACACCUACUGGAGGCAGCAGUGGGGAAUAUUGCACAAUGGAGGAAACUCUGAUGCAGCGAUGCCGCGUGAGGGAAGAAGGUUUUCGGAUUGUAAACCUCUGUCUUUGGGGACGAUAAUGACGGUACCCAAGGAGGAAGCUCCGGCUAACUACGUGCCAGCAGCCGCGGUAAUCUGAGCGGCUGGCAAGGC